rnacentral:rRNA from 1 species
AUGUGCUCUGUGCUUCUUAUUGCAGUUGUUGGAUCUUUUGCUGAUUCAAAUGUUCGAGCUGAUAUUUUGCAUUAUUUACGGUGCCAACCAAAGCCUGGAUCCAACAACAGUUCACCUUUCAAGCUCUCAGUGUCUUUGAUGGGUCACACUAAAGCAGUCAAUUGUGUGGAUUGGUCACCGAGCCAUGGACAUCUUCUUGCUUCUGCUGGAAUGGAUCAUACAGUCCGCGUAUGGAACGUUUGGAACAGAGGGGAUACUACUGCUCGAGUUUUAAAACAUCAUACUGCUGCUGUAAAGGAUGUGAAGUGGUCCCAUCAUCGGCCCUUCUUACUUUCUGGCGGGUUUGAUUGUUCCUCACGACUAGUUGACGCUGAGGAGGGAAAAGAAAUCAGGGUAUUCAAGGAGGAUCAACCAGUGGAGGUCGUCAAGUUCAAUCCAAGCAACUCAAAUCUCUUCCUGUCUGGUGGGUCCAAGGGUUCUCUUAGACUCUGGGAUAUUCGAACUGGCUUAGCAACUAAAGAGUUCAACAGAAGUCUUGGCACCAUCCUUGAUCUUGAAUUCAGUGCUGAUGGGAAGCAGUUUAUCUCUUCAACUGACACAACCAGAAGCAAUGUUAGUGAGAACACUAUAAUAGUAUGGGAUACAUUACGAGAAGUUCCUCUAUCUAACCAGGUUUAUACAGAAGCAUUCACCUGUCCCUGUGUGAGAUACCACCCAUACGAAGCUUCUUUUGUCGCGCAAUCCAACGGCAACUACAUUGCGAUUUUCUCAGCAAGGCCGCCAUUCAAGCUAAACAGGUAUAGGCGGUUUGAAGGACAUGGAGUGUGGGGCUUCCCGAUAAAGUGCAGUUUUUCCUUGAGCGGGAGGGAACUUGCGUCCGGUUCAUCCGAUGGCUGCAUCUAUUUCUAUGACUAUAAAUCCUCAAGGUUUCUGAGGAAGAUUGAAGCCUUCAAAGAAGCGUGCACUUGUGUUGCAUACCACCCUGUACUCCCUAAUGUGAUCGCUGCAUGUGGCUGGACUGGUGAAAUAUCUGUUUUCGAAUGA